GGAAGUAAAAGUCGUAGCAAGGUCUCCGUUGGUGAACCAGCGGAGGGAUCACUACAGGACUCGCAAGACUCCUACAACCCUGUGAACUUAACUAUAAGCACGUUGCUUCGGCGGGUGUCUCGGAGGGGGUUCUCCCUCCCCGAGACGCUAAACCCGCCGGCAGCCUACUAUACUCUGUCUCUUUGCGUUGGCAUCUCGAGUACAAUCAAACAAGUUAAAACUUUCAACAACGGAUCUCUUGGUUCUG
rnacentral:misc_RNA from 1 species